UGGGGGUAUUAAAAACACACACACAAAAUAAAUCUGGUUUUUAAGAAAAUGCACUGUUGUCGCCACAGAAAUUACACGGAACAGUUUGGCUUCCAGGGUGCAGAUGUAAAUUCUCUUUCCCCCUCCAUGUUGAAAACCUGUUCCAUAACACUGAGAUGAGAAUAUGCGAGUGAAUAUUCUCCAUUUGCCUUAUUGCAAAAAGCAGAUUUCUCAUGCUGGAUCAGGGCAUUACUGGGAGGUUGCAAAGGGGUAGCCAUGUUAGUCUGUUGCAGCAACGAAGAACCAUAUGUAAAAUUCUGAGUAAAUUUAAACUGAUUAUUUAGACUUUUAAGCUGUCGCGAGAUCCCUCAUUCUCUUUAUUAGGAGAGGCUACUUGAGGAAAACAUGGAGAAAUGCCAAGAAAUGGCUACGAAGCUAUUUCUAACUGCCAUUACGCUUGCAAGCCAAGUUUAUUGAAUGCCGCAGUUUAAAUGGCCGCCUUCUCUGUCAGGUUCAAUAUGGCUACCGAAAGUUGUGUCAUAGGCCAUUCCUUGUGCUGGAUGACGAGGGAAAACAAGAAAAUAAGACUGUCGGCUCUUCAAGGAGGGUCGACAUGAGGAGCCGAGUUUUCCUGGAAAGGAGCCGGCAGCUCUAUAGGAAAGAACCGGGUGGGAAGCUGAGGAGACGGAGGCCAUUUUGUUUUCAGUCCCUCAGGAUGAAAAACCGCCUAAAUGAGCAACUUGUGGUUUUCGUUUGCUUGUUGAAAAGGAGUAAUAAGCUCUGCCGUUUUAUCCCCUCCAUGGCGUGAAAACUAAAAGGGCAGCAAGGUUCCCCUUCAGUCCCUUCUGGGCCGUCGGGGGAAGAGCGUGAGGGCGGCCAUUUUGAAAAGAAGCCAUCUUGACUGAGGUGGAUGGAGACUGGAAAAUGGCCGUCUCUGACAGGAAUCGAUGGACGAGAACGACAGGGUUUAAACUCCUCAAAAAGAGAUAGCUGGGCUUUUAAUUAUUUAAUGCCAUUGAUCUGGCUUAUUAUAGGAUUUCUCACCAGGCCUUCAACCAUAUAUGGUCCUAAGGGCAGGCUGACGCAGUUUUUUAAAACCAGAUAAACAUUAUUUUUAAAAAAAUGAGAAACCAACUUGGGUCUGGUUGGCCCAACUUGACCACUUCAAUUGGCACAAUUGCAGGUGCCCCAAAAAUGUCCAUUUCACGUUUGUAAGUACUUGGUCUUUUAGUGUUGUUGCAGCAGCAGCACUGUGGAACUACCUGCCUCAUGAUAUCAGGCAUAUGCCUUCAAUGUAAUAAUAAUAAUAAUAAUAAAAAUUUAUUUAUACCCCGCCCUCCCCAGCCAAGGCGGCUAACAAGCAAUAAUAAAAACAAUGUACUUUUUUUGGCGUCUGCUAAAACCAAUUUUGCUUAGACAGGCCUACCCAGAUGCUUAGAAGGUCGAGGUCAUUUUAGUCUACUUUAGUAUUUUAACUUUUGCAUGUUUUUAAAAGUAUGGUUGUGGUAUGUUUUUUUCUCUGUGUUUUUGCUUUGUCUAUUUGUAAACUGCUUUUUUUUUUUUUUACAUUCAGCUAGCGGGAUGUAAAUUUAAUGGAAUAAUAAAUAAAUAAAUACUGUUUGAAUUGGAAAACGGAGGUUUUUAUAAAAACACCCCUUAGCUGUCCAAGGCUGGGGUAAAGAGUUGCAUCUCUUUUGUUUUCAUUUUCUUUUAAUUUCAAAACUUUAUAACCCGCCUGCUAGCCCUGUAAGGUCUCUCAAUAUGGCUUAUCCUGGAACAGGGGGAAAAAAUACAAUCCAAAAUGCAUGAUUAUUAUUAUUAUUAUUAUUAUUGAAAGGAGCCCGGCAUAAUGUACAAGAGGUAAGUUAAUAUAAUACGAUAACUUAAAAUGUACAGGAAAAUACACACAGGCACACACUCCACCAUAAAUAGCAUUUAAAAAGCUUUGCGAGAACAGAGCUGUCUUGCUUUAGUGCCCAAGACAAAAUGGAGGUGCCUGGUGGGCCUCUUUAGGGCGGCUGGAGUCGUGCCACUACCACCAAAAAGGCCCUGCUUCAAAAACGCGUCGCUGUUACCUCCUGUGAAAUGGAAACUGAAGCAGAGCCAGGGGCGUAGGAAGGGGGACGGGGGGUGUAAAAAAUGAACAAUUACUGCCCUGCUAGGGCGGUUCAUAAAAAACUUUUUUUUAAAAAAAUGCCUGCUCCAAAGGUCUUAUCCUACUACACUAGGGAUUAUAUAGCUAUAUCUGAAAUUUCAUGCAUAUCAGUUAAUAUCUUGACCCUACUCCACGAAAAUAACUGUUUACUUGGCUGUAUUCAUCUGACAUGAAGGUUGAAAUUUCAAUUCAGUGGAGCCAAAACACAAUCCACCCUGUAGAUUUAAGUAUCUGUCCACAGAUCUGUUAUCAGAGGCCCAGAAUCCACAUUGUAAGAAAAUAUGAAAUAACGUAAAACUAUUUUUGCAGGCCAAAAAAUAAUCAAUGGGGGGGGGGGUGACAAGAGAUUUUCCACACCAUGGAGAGAUAAAAUCAAGAUAUGGAAAUAUGGAAAUAUUGAUGAGAAUCAGGACUGAGAUUUGGAAAUGCUUUGAGGUCCAGACUGUGGGAAGUCGUAAAAUCAAAAUUACAAUUCAGAAGACAAUUGGAUUUUUUAUUUUAGUUUUUUACUUUUGAUUUGAUAUGUUAAUUGGAUGUUUUUUAUUGGAAAAUUAAUAAACGCUCUAACGAAGCAAAAAAGAAAAGAAAUUUUCCACACCAGGUACCACCCGACCUUCCUGCGCCUCUGAGCAGAGCCCCCUAGUUAUCUUAAAUAAAAGCUGGGGCAAUAAAACAGGAGAUGAAACACACAUGCACUUUCUGCAUUGAUGCGUUUGGCCCAGAUUGGGCCAGGGCAGAGAUCAGCCGCUAGACUCUCUAGGACCAAAUCCGCCCGGUUUCUCCCCAGACCCAUAAGGUGAGUGUAAUAAUAAUAAUAAUAAUAAUAAUAAUAAUAAUAAUAAAUUUUAUUUAUAUCCCGCCCUCCCCAGCCGAAGCCGGGCUCAGGGCGGCUAACAACACUAAAAUAGUGCAACAUUAUAAACAUUAUAAAAAUUAAUUAAAAUCAAAAUUGAUGGCAACCAUAAACUAAAGUUUUGUAAAGAUUGCCAAAGGAGGGAGUCAGGCUGUGCCCUGACCAAAGGCCUGGUGGAACAGCUCUGUCUUGCAGGCCCUGCGGAAAGAUGUCAAGUCCUGCAGGGCCCUAGUCUCUUGGGACAGAGCGUUCCACCAGAUCGGGGCCAGUACUGAAAAGGCCCUGGCUCUGGUUGAGGCCAGCCUAACCUCUCUGUGGCCCGGGACCUCCAAGGUGAUUUUGUUUGAAGACCAUAAGUUCCUCUGUGGGACAUACCAGGAGAGGCGGUCCCGUAGGUACGAGGGUCCUAGGCCGUAUAGGGCUUUAAAGGUUAAAACCAGCACCUUAAACCUGAUCCUGUACUCCACCGGGAGCCAGUGCAGCUGGUAUAGCACCGGGUGAAUGUGAUCUCGCAGCGAAGACCCCGUAAGGAGUCUCGCUGCAGCAUUCUGCACCCGCUGGAGUUUCUGGGUCAGUCUCAAGGGCAGCCCCACGUAGAGCGAGUUACAAUAAUCCAGUCUGGAGGUGACCGUCGCGUGGAUCACAGUGGCUAGGUCAGGGCGAGAGAGGUAAGGAUCCAACUGCUUAGCUUGGCGGAGAUGAAAAAAUGCCGCCUUUGUUAUAGCUGCAAUCUGCGCCUCCAUAGAGAGGGAGGUGUCGAAGAUUACACCCAAACUCUUAACGGACGGUGCUGGCACUAAUUGCGCCCCCGCAAGAGAUGGGAGUUGCCCCCUCAAUCCCAUAUCGUUCCGUCCCAGCCAGAGGACCUCUGUCUUCGAAGGAUUUAACUUCAACUGGCUCCCACGAAACCAUCCAGCCACAGCCUCCAAACAUCUGAUCAGUGUGUCUGGGGCCGAGUCAGGAUGGCCAUCCAUCAACAGAUAGAGCUGGGUGUCAUCGGCAUACUGAUGGCAACCCAGCCCAAAACUCCGGAAAAGCUGAGCGAGUGUUAGUGGGCCUGCUGGCUGCGGCCAUCCGCUUUGGGGGAGCAAGCGAGGCCGCAAAGCGACAUGUCUCUUGCACGCCAGACUCAAUUUAAGGGAAAUUUUUAAGUUUUAGGACUUGGGGAAAUUUUUAAUGACAGAUGUUUUGAUGUAUUUUUGGAUUAUUUUCAAUUUUAUUGAAGUUAUUCACAACACAAAUCUACUACAGCAACAACUGAGACAAAUAAACCCACCACCAUAACAUCUAAAACGAAACAAACUUUACAACAAUACACUUACAACAAAGAAAAACGAAAUAAAGGACUUCCUUUAUCCUGUACACGGCUUCCUUAUUUACUUCUUAUAAACUGUUUCCCGUAUAGAUAACUAUGACUGGUUGUCUCAAAUUGUAACUUAAGAACCAUAAAUCCUCCUGCAAGAAUUAAUCGAAACAAGUCCGGGUGGUUAUUUGGGGGCACUGCUUUAAGGUACCGUAUUUUUUGCUCUAGAAGACUCACUUUUUCUCUCCUAAAAAGUAAGGGGAAAUGUGUGUGCGUCUUAUGGAGCGAAUGCAGGCUGCGCAGCUAUCCCAGAAGCCAGAACAGCGAGAGGGAUUGCUGCUUUCACUGCUCAGCGAUCCCUCUUGCUGUUCUGGCUUCUGAGAUUCAGAAUAUUUUUUUUCUUGUUUUCCUCCUCCAAAAACUAGGUGCGUCUUGUGGUCUGGUGCGUCUUAUAGAGCGAAAAAUACGGUAUUUUUAAUCUUUUGUCGGAAGCCGCCCAGAGUGGCUGGGGAAACCCAGCAAGAUGGGGGGGGGGUAUAAAUAAUAAAUCAUCAUCAUUAUCAUCAACGGCAUCCUGGACAUUUUUCUCUCUGUUUCAGGCAUAAAAGCAUCUCUGGCCUGCCGCGAAAGGAUCGACCCAAACGUUAACCUGGAUGCAAAGGUAUAAUGAGCCAUUGGGAGUGCUGCACGGACGCCAUCCAGAAAUGCCGCCCCCACCUUUCUUCCUCCUUUGCAGGCGAUGGCGUCAGUCAGGAUGCGGCCCUCCUGUGUCGCUUUUUCCAGCCGUAUCCUCUCUCUCUUGCUGUGUUUGGCAAUGGUAGAACUCACACUGGUGAGGUAUCAUGAUCCGGUGGUUCUAGACUUGCCAACUACAGCCUGAGGGUCGAGCCUCAGUCGCCCGUCCUGCGGUCAGGGAGAAUGGACCCGCUAGCAAACAGCUCCCUCUGCCAGUGGUCGAGAGCAGGCGCAGACAGAAGUGAAAUUCCAAAUUCUCUGCCCGCUCAGGGUCACAGAGCAAGUAGUCCUUCGGAACGGGGGGCUUCCCCAGCCCCACUCUUGGCUUGGGUUCAGGGGGGCUGCACGGGGCCACUGAAAUCUUCUUGUGCCAAGAUGAUUGUUUCUUCUAACGAGGGAUAGAAAUUUUUAAAAAAUAAAAUAGAAUUCAAGUUUGUCCUCAUUGAAGAUGGAGGCUACCAUCUUGAAUUGUGAAUUUAUUGUGUAUAAAUGUUGGCUGCAAGGAGUGUGUUUAUGGAGGGCGUGGAGGGGUACCAGGCUCCAAAGAUAUGGAGUCUUUCGUAAAAAGAGAUUGCGGGAUUAAGCCAAAGUGCAGCAUCCCGUUCUCACGGUGGCCAAAAGAGAAGCCUGCAAGCAAGAUCUGAGCACAAGAACAUUCUCCGCACUUGCAAUUCCCAGCAAUGGAGGUGCUGCAGAGAGGCUCAAAAUGGACUAUUUUUUUUUUAAAAAAAGAUGAAUGCUGUUGUCCUCUGUGUCUGGGACUAGCUUUCACACGGUCUCCGGCACAGUUCCGUUCCUAAUCUACAUUUCCUCUCGCAAGUGCCCCUUGUCCUGUCUCAAGGCCGCAAACUGGUUCCUUGCAAACAAAGAACCACCCCACCACCUUCCAAAUUCUGCAUAACCUUUGAAAUAUAACCUUUGAAAUUACAUGUCGCUGAUGCUUUGCAAUAAAAGUUCCUUCUUUUCUCUGGGAUCCUAUUCCUAUUUUGCAGGGGGG